rnacentral:lncRNA from 1 species
AAAUAAGUAUAAAAGAGGCUUGGCACAGAACUCUGAGAAACAUCUUCAUUUAGAGGAGACAGGGCAAGAAGUAUAUUUGAAAAGAUAAAGAAGGCUCAGAGUUCAAAAUCAUGAAAUCAAAAGCAAAUAGCAUUUUAAGGAGAUAAGGAAGAUCAAUGGCUGCAAAUGCUUCAGAAAAAUCAAGAAAAAUAAGUAUGACAAUUAUCCAGUGGGCUUAAAAAGAUGGUCAUUGUGGAGGAUUCUGAUAGAUGUCUGACAAAAUCUGUUUUCCUUUGCUUCUAUAGUAAUAGAACUGUGCCCAGGUAUGUGGCCAUGAAGGUAGAUUGCCCAUCCCAGCCUCCCUUGUAUUUGAGUGUGGCCAAGUGAAUUAAGUUCUCACAGAUGGAUUGUGAGCAGAAUUUCUGUCUUCCCCUUCCAGUUAUAGAACAGAAAUCAUCUGGAUAUGCCUCUUUCUUCCAAGCGAGCUAGAACCCAGAUGUGACAGUGACCCAGCUACAGCCAUGCAGAUUAUAUUGCCAUAGGGAAUGUUGAAGAAAUUACUUGAAAGAAAAUUUGGUUUCAGAAGGACUGUGAGGAUGAAAGCUGCCCUACCUACCUAAUAAUUUUUACAUUGGUACUGUCAUGUGAAAAAGAGAGACAUGUUUACAAGCCACUGUGUCAUUGCAUCACAUUGGUUCCACAGUAUAAUCUUAACUUAUAUGGAAAUCUUUGAUAACAUUUGCAAUAGCAGUUUCAGUAGAAUGGUUGUGAUGAAAAUUAGAUUGUACUUCGGUGCAAAGUGAGGCGGAUGAGGAAGCAAAAAUGAGGUAAACCGCUCUUUCAACAAUUUUUUUUUUGAGACAGGGUCUCAGUCUGUCACCCAGGCUCACUGGCUCACUGCAUCCAGGCUCUCAAGAAAUUUGUAAAGAAUGAAAAGGCUGUAAAAGGAAUAAGAAAUACAUUGGUAUCUGGAGAAGAAUUCAGACUCAGAGAGUAUUUUAAAGACUAGAGAAACUUGAAUAUAUUUAAAAUGCCAAUGUGUAAUGUUCAGUAGGGAAGGAGAAAAUUAAGAUACAGAAGGGAUAAUGCAAGUCCCCUAGAAAGGUUGUUAAAGAUGGGAUCCAGGCAAUGUAUGAAGUGUUUGGAUUUAGACCAGUGGGACGGACCUCAGCAGGUGAAAAGUAUAGAUACAGAUGCUGUUAAAGCUGUGGAGUAGGGGACAGGAAAAUGAAUUUCUAGCUGAUGGAUUCUAUUUUCUCAAUAAGGUAUCAGGCAAGUUCAUCGGAUAAAAGGGGGUAUCUAAGUGGUAGGGUAAGAAGUUUAAAGUAAGAUACGUAGGUUUAAAAUAGUUGUUGUGGAGCGUAGAAGAGAAAGCUCGUUAGAAAAAUUAUAAAAGGAGUUCUUGGUCUCAGAAGCCCAAUUAGGUUUGAAUAUUAUACAUUUAUAGUGGCAGUGGUAUUGCUAAUUUUGUAAGUUUGGUCUUAUAGAGUGCAGCACCCCAUGUGUAAGAGAGGAGGAGGACUAUAUUCAUCUGGGCUGGAGUUUCAUCAGGUGGUUUUAGUGAAGGAAAAUUGAACAAGGGAAUUGAGAAUAUGGGCAUGAGAGCAACUGGGAGUGGUAAACCAGGAAAUCAGCUGAAUAGGAAGGAAAUUAAAACAGGAGCGUUUGAUAGGUAGUAACAGCACCAUGGAAUGGAGCUCUGAUAAGGUCAAAGACAAGAUGUGAUAGAAACAGCAGAAUGAGAAGGUUAUAGGCAUAGACAAUUGUGCACUCAGAGGGAGAUAGCUGAAAUUAUUAUAUCAUAGAACAGUUUCUUGGUGGGGAAAAAGUACAAUAUGUAGCCAGGGCAUUAAUGACUGAAAAACAGGAGUAGAGGUAAAGACUUAGGGACUGAGAGGCCAUGUUGUUAGAUUAAUCAGUGGACCCAGGAGUGGUGGUAGAACUUGAAACAGAAAGAUAAAGAGAACAAUGUGUUUGUAAGAUAAAAUGUCCUAUGUCCCUUUUCCCUCCCAUACUAUUGCCUAAAUAAAAAAAAAAUACUGUUAUUUGGUUUUUAUUGUAAGCGUUUUCAGGAGAAUCCAUUCUGUAAGGCUGGGCCAUCUCUUGUGUCUCUAUUUUCUAAGUGUCCUUUAACCCCCGCUAGAUAAAAAAUUAUAUUCUAAGUUACUUACAACCUAUAGUUCUUUCAUAUAAAAUUGGCUGAUACAGCUUGAUUCCUAUGCACUGUUUUAAGUAUAACUAUAAAUGAGGUCUUUGAAGCAUAUAAGCAAAAUUCGUUUUUAGCAAUGCAUUCUAGGAGAAUUGGUUGGUUAUAUGUAUCUGGGCAUUUGAGCUCCUGAAUGCCUGGUCACUCUUCAUUAGAGCCAGGAAACUCAUAGUUCUUUUUAUAAAGAGAGGAGUCCUGCUGCUCAUAUAUCUAGAAAAACUGGAAGUAACAGGACAAGUACUUGGCCCUUCUCUCCACUGUUGCACCAGCGAGAUUUUCUGUCUGAGUUGUUUGAACUACUCUUUCCCACUCCACCAGUAGAUAUGAGAAGAUCACAGGGAAGCUGCUAGAAUAACUCCCACCUUUGGAGGCCAGAAGUUCAACAGCCUGGGCGACAUGAUGAGAACCCAUCUCUACAAAAAUUUUUUUUAAAAUAGCUGGGGGUGCUACUCGGGAGACUGAGGCAGGAGAAUGGCGGGAACCCAGGAGGCGGAGCUUGCAGUGAGCCGAGAUCGCGCCACUGCACUCCAGCCUGGGUGACAGAGUGAGACUCUGCCUCAAAAACAAAACAAAACAAAAAACAAACAAACAAACAAAAAUAGCUGUGGGGGGUGGCAUGUGCCUGUGGUCCCGGCUACUUGGGAUGCUGCGUCAGGAGGAUUGCUUGAGCCCAGGAGGUCAAGGCUUCAGUGAGCUAUGAUUGCACCACUGCACUCCAGCCUAGGUGACUAAGACCCUGUCUCUAAAACUGGUAGCUCUGGGAUAGGGUCCUGG